UACGAAGGGGGCUAGCGUUGCUCGGAAUCACUGGGCGUAAAGCGCACGUAGGCGGCUUUCUAAGUCAGGGGUGAAAUCCUGGAGCUCAACUCCAGAACUGCCUUUGAUACUGGAGAGCUAGAGUCCGGAAGAGGUGAGUGGAACUGCGAGUGUAGAGGUGAAAUUCGUAGAUAUUCGGAAGAACACCAGUGGCGAAGGCGGCUCACUGGACCGGUAUUGACGCUGAGGUGCGAAAGCGUGGGGAGCAAACAGG
rnacentral:rRNA from 1 species